CAGCCCAGACAGGAUAUUAGAAUGGACGUUUCCUUCUUCAGUACGCCACAGGCAGGGCCCUCUCCCACUUGUCUUCUCUGUAGAAAGACACAGAGAAAAGAUAAAGAUGUGAGCGGAGCUGACAGGCUGCUGGAGCCACGGUCUCCUUCGCUGUUUGCAUCUUGAGUCGGUUUCUGAUUUGAUUCUGAGAGGAUGAUUGUGACGGGGGCUUUUUUAUUAUGCGGACAACAGAUGGCAAGGGAUGAUGCUGAUCUCUAUGUCCGAGAUGAGAAGUGCUGGAAGCAUUCCCAGAGUUACGGCAGGCUGAGGCUGCUGGUGAUGACAUCACCCUGAGACGACCUAAUUGGGCAGCUGUUAACCUUCCAGGAUUCAAUGAGAAACAGGUGGUGGGCCCAAACACGUGCUCUUGGCUCGGAGGAAACACCAAAACAGUGUAAUAGCUGACAUGUUGCUAAUAAUGCACUAAACAUUGCCUGAUGGGGUGAUUAAAUGUGUUUUGUGUACAGUAAUGUAUAUUUCAUUUACUGUCACGUUACACAUGAGUAAAAAUCUAGCAGUCCUACUGUAUGCAGCAGUUGUAUGCAAAAGCUUCAUUUUUUUCCUUUUGAGUUGCUGUCUCCUCUGCUCUACUUUACCAAGCAAGUAUUUUGACAUUGAAUACAUAGUUGUUGAAACAAGCUCAUAGUUAUACAACACCGUGCUCAUAUGUUGACACUUGUGUAAAUAUAGCAACAGAAUAAAAACUGCAGCAACAUUUGCUGUCAUCCAUA